CCUACGGGAGGCUGCAGUGGGGAAUAUUGGACAAUGGGGGGAACCCUGAUCCAGCGACGCCGCGUGAGUGAAGAAGUAUCUCGGUAUGUAAAGCUCUAUCAGCAGGGAAGAAAGAAAUGACGGUACCUGACUAAGAAGCCCCGGCUAACUACGUGCCAGCAGCCGCGGUAAUACGUAGGGGGCAAGCGUUAUCCGGAUUUACUGGGUGUAAAGGGGGCGUAGACGGCUGAGCAAGUCUGAAGUGAAAGGCGGGGGCCCAACCCCCGGACUGCUUUGGAAACUGUAUAGCUAGAGUGCAGGAGAGGUAAGUGGAAUUCCGAGUGUAGCGGUGAAAUGCGUAGAUAUUAGGAGGAACACCAGUGGCGAAGGCGGCUUACUGGACUGUAACUGACGUUGAGGCUCGAAAGCGUGGGGAGCAAACAGGAUUAGAUACCCCUGUAGUC
rnacentral:rRNA from 1 species